rnacentral:tRNA from 1 species
GCCUUCGUGGUGUAGUGGUCAGCAUGCUCGACGCGUAACCGAGAGGUCCGUGGUUCGAGUCCUGGCGAAGGCC